UUAAGUUCAGCGGGUAGUCCUACCUGAUUUGAGAUCGAACGUUCAAAGCUGUCUCCACUGAGGAGAGACAUUUGUAAGCUCCAGCGGACCUCCAUCGCUGAAGGUCACCCAGCAGACGACCACAAGCGUAGAUAGUUAUCACACCCGUGAUGCCGCCGAACACUGGCAAGCUGAUUCGUUUGAGAGGAGCCGACCGCUGG
rnacentral:misc_RNA from 1 species